rnacentral:rRNA from 1 species
UACGUAGGGUGCAAGCGUUUAAUCGGAAUUACUGGGCGUAAAGCGUGCGCAGGCGGUGAUGUAAGACAGGUGUGAAAUCCCCGGGCUUAACCUGGGAACUGCAUUUGUGACUGCAUCGCUGGAGUGCGGCAGAGGGGGAUGGAAUUCCGCGUGUAGCAGUGAAAUGCGUAGAUAUGCGGAGGAACACCGAUGGCGAAGGCAAUCCCCUGGGCCUGCACUGACGCUCAUGCACGAAAGCGUGGGGAGCAAACAGG